rnacentral:rRNA from 1 species
UACAGAGGGUGCAAGCGUUGUUCGGAAUUAUUGGGCGUAAGGCGCGUGUAGGCGGCUUAGCAAGUCGGGCGUGAAAGCCCUCGGCUCAACCGAGGAAGUGCACCCGAAACUGCUGAGCUUGAGUGCCGGGAGAGGAUGGCGGAAUACCCCAAGUAGAGGUGAAAUUCGUAGAUAUGGGGUGGAACACCGGUGGCGAAGGCGGCCAUCUGGACGGUAACUGACGCUGAGACGCGAAAGCGUGGGGAGCAAACAGG